rnacentral:lncRNA from 1 species
GGUUGUUAUAAAUUUAGCACUUUGAGCUAGAAAUAAGCACGGUUCAAAGUUCAACUCUGAAGCAACAGCAGUUCAAACUGUCACUGCUACAUUAAUCCUUUUCCUUCAGCUGCAACAGUCUCUAGUCCCAGUGUGUCACAACUUUUGUUUACUGGCGCCUUCUCUUGCCAGUCUGUCAGCUUCCUCGUUUCCUUGGAAACCAGCAUGACCAGGAAUAUGCAUCCACUGAAUUUCUAUGCCUUUUGAUAGACUAUCAAGUUUUUGAAAAUCUUCUUUAUUUAUCACGCUUCCUCCUGAACUUGUUCUCCAGCCAUUUGUUUUCCAGUUUUCA